rnacentral:ncRNA from 1 species
AAGAGCCGGAUGAAGGGAGUCUUUCAAGUCCCGUUCUCUGAGAAGUUAAGGGGGAGAUUCCUUUGGCUUACUCGAC